rnacentral:rRNA from 1 species
UACGGAGGGCGCAAGCGUUGUUCAGAAUCACUGGGCGUAAAGCGCGUGUAGGCGGCCGGGCAAGUCGGGUGUGAAAUCCCGAGGCUCAACCUCGGAACUGCAUUCGAAACUGCUCGGCUCGAGUCCCGGAGAGGAUGGCGGAAUUCCCGGUGUAGGGGUGAAAUCCGUAGAUAUCGGGAGGAACACCAGCGGCGAAGGCGGCCAUCUGGACGGUGACUGACGCUGAGACGCGAAAGCGUGGGGAGCAAACAGG